rfam:Triticum aestivum genome assembly, contig: Triticum_aestivum_CS42_TGACv1_scaffold_308567_4AS
CUACUACUUCCUUCGUUCCGAAUUACUUGUCAUGGGUAUGGAUGUAUCUAGAUGUAUUUUAGUUCUAAAUACAUUCAUUUUUGCGACGAGUAAUUUGGAACGAAGGGAAUAUUUC